GACGAACUCUGGCGGCGUGCUUAACACAUGCAAGUCGAACGGAAAGGCCCUGCUUUUGUGGGGUGCUCGAGUGGCGAACGGGUGAGUAACACGUGAGUAACCUGCCCUUGACUUUGGGAUAACUUCAGGAAACUGGGGCUAAUACCGGAUAGGAGCUCCUGCUGCAUGGUGGGGGUUGGAAAGUUUCGGCGGUUGGGGAUGGACUCGCGGCUUAUCAGCUUGUUGGUGGGGUAGUGGCUUACCAAGGCUUUGACGGGUAGCCGGCCUGAGAGGGUGACCGGCCACAUUGGGACUGAGAUACGGCCCAGACUCCUACGGGAGGCAGCAGUGGGGAAUAUUGCACAAUGGGCGGAAGCCUGAUGCAGCAACGCCGCGUGCGGGAUGACGGCCUUCGGGUUGUAAACCGCUUUCGCCUGUGACGAAGCGUGAGUGACGGUAAUGGGUAAAGAAGCACCGGCUAACUACGUGCCAGCAGCCGCGGUGAUACGUAGGGUGCGAGCGUUGUCCGGAUUUAUUGGGCGUAAAGGGCUCGUAGGUGGUUGAUCGCGUCGGAAGUGUAAUCUUGGGGCUUAACCCUGAGCGUGCUUUCGAUACGGGUUGACUUGAGGAAGGUAGGGGAGAAUGGAAUCCCUAGUGGAGCGGUGGAAUGCGCAGAUAUCAGGAGGAACACCAGUGGCGAAGGCGGUUCUCUGGGCCUUUCCUGACGCUGAGGAGCGAAAGCGUGGGGAGCGAACAGGCUUAGAUACCCUGGUAGUCCACGCUGUAAACGGUGGGUACUAGGUGUGGGGUCCAUUCCACGGGUUCCGUGCCGUAGCUAACGCUUUAAGUACCCCGCCUGGGGAGUACGGCCGCAAGGCUAAAACUCAAAGGAAUUGACGGGGCCCCGCACAAGCGGCGGAGCAUGCGGAUUAAUUCGAUGCAACGCGUAGAACCUUACCUGGGUUUGACAUGGAUCGGGAGUGCUCAGAGAUGGGUGUGCCUCUUUUGGGGUCGGUUCACAGGUGGUGCAUGCCUGUCGUCAGCUCGUGUCGUGAGAUGUUGGGUUAAGUCCCGCAACGAGCGCAACCCUUGUUCACUGUUGCCAGCACGUUAUGGUGGGGACUCAGUGGAGACCGCCGGGGUCAACUCGGAGGAAGGUGGGGAUGACGUCAAGUCCUCAUGCCCCUUAUGUCCAGGGCUUCACGCAUGCUACAAUGGCUGGUACAGAGAGUGGCGAGCCUGUGAGGGUGAGCGAAUCUCGGAAAGCCGGUCUCAGUUCGGAUUGGGGUCUGCAACUCGACCUCAUGAAGUCGGAGUCGCUAGUAAUCGCAGAUCAGCAACGCUGCGGUGAAUACGUUCCCGGG
rnacentral:rRNA from 1 species